rnacentral:rRNA from 1 species
AGCAGUCGCCGCGGUAAUACGUAGGUCCCGAGCGUUGUCCGGAUUUAUUGGGCGUAAAGCGAGCGCAGGCGGUUAGAUAAGUCUGAAGUUAAAGGCUGUGGCUUAACCAUAGUACGCUUUGGAAACUGUUUAACCUGAGUGCAGAAGGGGAGAGUGAAAUUCCAUGUGUAGCGGUGAAAUGCGUAGAUAUAUGGAGGAACACCGGUGGCGAAAGCGGCUCUCUGGUCUGUAACUGACGCUGAGGCUCGAAAGCGUGGGGAGCGAACAGGAUUAGAUACCCGGGUAGUCCCUGUCUCUUAUACA